rnacentral:rRNA from 1 species
GAUGAGCGCUGGCGGCGUGCUUAACACAUGCAAGUCGAGCGAGUGAGUUCUUCGGAACGAUCUAGCGGCGGACGGGUGAGUAACACGUGGGCAACCUGCCUCAUAGAGGGGAAUGGCCUCCCGAAAGGGAGAUUAAUACCGCAUAAAAUUAUCGAGUGGCAUCACAUGAUAAUCAAAGGAGUAAUCCGCUAUGAGAUGGGCCCGCGGCGCAUUAGCUAGUUGGUGAGGUAACGGCUCACCAAGGCGACGAUGCGUAGCCGACCUGAGAGGGUGAUCGGCCACAUUGGGACUGAGACACGGCCCAGACUCCUACGGGAGGCAGCAGUGGGGAAUAUUGCACAAUGGGGGAAACCCUGAUGCAGCAACGCCGCGUGAGUGAUGAAGGUCUUCGGAUUGUAAAGCUCUGUCUUUGGGGACGAUAAUGACGGUACCCAAGGAGGAAGCCACGGCUAACUACGUGCCAGCCGCCGCGGUAA